ACUGUCGAAAACUUUAGAAUAAUCUGAAGGAGUUGAAGCAACAGAAGAAAAAAACUGUCAUGGAUUAGGCCGAGGAGACAUCAGCGACAGUGCAGGUCGCAGAAUUGGAGAUGAUCGAUUCUGAUGUGCUAUAUGUGGUGACUGGUGGUGCGAAAAUUUCGGAUGAUACGUGGGUGUUCGAUUCGGCGUGUUCCUUUCAUGUUUGCCCAGAGAAGGAGUUUUUUGUCACCUAUAAAGCGAUUCGAGGUGGAAAAACUCUUAUGGGGAACGGGAUGACAUGCAAAAAUUUUGGGAGUUGGCACGGUAAAGAUCUGGAUGCACGAUGGGGUCA
rnacentral:lncRNA from 1 species